UGGGGAAUUUUGCACAAUGGGGGAAACCCUGAUGCAGCGACGCCGCGUGAUUUAGAAGGCCUUCGGGUUGUAAAAAUCUUUUCUAUGGGAAGAAAAUGACAGUACCAUAGGAAUAAGGACCGGCUAAUUACGUGCCAGCAGCCGCGGUAAUACGUAAGGUCCGAGCGUUGUCCGGAAUCAUUGGGCGUAAAGGGUACGUAGGCGGGUAAGCAAGUUAGAAGUGAAAUCCUAAAGCUCAACUAUAGUAAGCUUUUAAAACUGCUCAUCUUGAGGUAUGGAAGGGAAAGUGGAAUUCCUAGUGUAGCGGUGAAAUGCGCAGAUAUUAGGAGGAAUACCGGUGGCGAAGGCGACUUUCUGGCCAUAACCUGACGCUGAGGUACGAAAGCGUGGGUAGCAAACAGG
rnacentral:rRNA from 1 species